rnacentral:lncRNA from 1 species
AAAACUCAUCGCCAGACUAAGGCCCCAGCUGCAAUAGCAAAUCCCAGGGAAUGUUGUAGCCCUGUGAGAUUACGUGAGUGAAGCUCUCGCACAGCCUGUAUGUCAUUCCGUGCUUCCACAUCUGUUAGUUGUUUAUUGAAUCAAGAACUCAGAGCCCGUGACCUGCAGAAGGCAUUCGCACCCUUUGCCAUGGAGCUGCACGUGCACCUGGCCCAGGACUCAGAGAAGCUGAAGGAGGAGAUUCAAUGGGAGUCGAAGAUGCUGUGGGCCCAGCUGCUGCUUACCCCCCAACAAGGGGAGCCAGUAGUUCAAUGACAAUGUGUGUGAGCUGCAGUGACACCUGGCUGUCUGCACUGACCUUCAGAGUGUAAUGGCUGCUGCUUCAUUUCUGCCUUGCAGAUCUCGUGAAAAUUUUCCUUUUAGUCAGCCCUAACUCAGAAUCACACAGAGAAGGGAAUUCCAGGAAACAUAGUCCGAGUCUAGCUAAGUUGACACGCUACAAAACCACCAGAGCAGUCUUCCCCAUCUCAGUUAAUAACAACUCCAUCCUUCUAGUUGCUCAGGCCAAAAACCUUGGAAUAAUCCUUUUCUCUUCUCUUUCUCUCUUCCUCCCUACAGCCAACCUGUUGGUGCAUCCUACACGCUUUAUCUUCAAAAUAUAUUCAGAAUCCAGCUACUUCUGCCAUGUCCUCAGCUACCACUCUGGGCAAAGGCACCAUCGUGUUGCCUGGUUUGCUGCAGUAGCUUUCUAAGUAGUCUCCCUCCUUCUACCCUUGCCCUCCUACAUUUUAUGCUCAACACAGCACCUAGAGAAAGCCUAUUAUGACAUGUUUGGUCACGCCAUCCCUCUGCUCAAAACCCUCCAAUGGUCUCCCAUGUCACAUCCUUGUGAAUGGCCUACAAGAUCCACAUUACCCAGUCCCCUUCCCUCUUCCCUCUCCAUCCUCAUCUCCUAUUACUCACCUCCUCACUCAUUCCACUCUGGUCACGGUUGUCCUUACUGUUCUCAGAUAUGGCACCUCACCUCACCUGCUUUUGCAGUUGCUGUUCCCUCUGCCUGUAAUGCUCUCCCCUUAGAUAUCUACAUGGCUUUUCACCUCACCUCCUUCAAGUCUCUGCUCAAAUGCUGCCUUCUCAGUGAUGCCUUCCUGACUGCCUCCACCCAGCAUUCUAUUCCCCUUCGUUGCUUGAUUUUCUCUUCCUGGCUCUUACCACAUUCUAACUUAU